rnacentral:lncRNA from 1 species
GAAAGGCCCUGAAGAAAUAAAGAGUAAUUCUGCUUUACCAGAUAUGCGGCUAUAGUGUGGGAAGAGGUUAAAUUUUGGUCAGAUGUCUGGAAAUAAUGGGGCUGAAGAUCCUCUGUGGCCUGACUGAGUUGAUUCUGGAUUUGUUGAAUGUGCUUAUAUCCCCAGGAAGCCAGCAAAUCCUGUAAAGUCCUUGAUGGGCAUCUAGCUAAAACAGCACUAAAAACAGAGGGGAAAUAAAGAAACAAUACUUGGCAAACCAUGACAGAGAUCUUGCCUAGAUGGCUGUUCUCUGUGGAGUUACCU